UACGUAGGUGACAAGCGUUGUCCGGAUUUACUGGGCGUAAAGAGCGCGCAGGCGGUCGAUCAAGUCGAGUGUGAAAGCCCCCGGCUCAACUGGGGAGGGUCAUUCGAUACUGAUCGACUCGAAGGCAGGAGAGGGUAGUGGAAUUCCCGGUGUAGUGGUGAAAUGCGUAGAUAUCGGGAGGAACACCAGUGGCGAAGGCGGCUUCCUGGACAAUAACUGACGCUGAGGCGCGAAAGCUAGGGGAGCAAACAGG
rnacentral:rRNA from 1 species